ACUUCUGCUACCAGUAAUGAAUGUGACAUCAUUUCCAUCUCCAAGCAGAACGAUAUUGGGCUUAUUUUUUGGGAUUUCUACAUUCUCCUUGUAUACCCCUUGUUUGAUACAGAUGAAUAUUCUAUAUUCACUAUCACUUGGAGCAAAGUUUAUAGCAUCCGCGAUGGUAGUGAAAUUUCCAGUUCCAUCUGCGGCUACUGUAAUCACUUGGCUUGAAUCAUAUUCAUCGGCAUCACUCUGCAAAAUUCGACCAUCAUUCUUCGAUAUCCAUCUUGGAAAUCCUAACAAGCGGCGAUUUUUACGACCCUUUUUAGGAACUUGCUUAGGGAGCAUUGAAAGAGAGUUACUAACAUGGGUGUAUGUACUGGUUAAUGAAUCGACUAGGAGAGUCUUCAAUGGACCGGAUGCAGAAUCUAGCCCCUCCAAGCAAGUAUUCUUGUUUGUGAGUGCUGCACUA
rnacentral:misc_RNA from 1 species